rnacentral:tRNA from 1 species
GAGAGGCCUAGAGCAGUAAGGACUGCUAAUCCGUACCCCCAUGGUUAG